rnacentral:rRNA from 1 species
AUUGAACGCUGGCGGCAGGCCUAACACAUGCAAGUCGAACGAGUGGCGGACGGGUGAGUAAUGUUUGGGAAACUGCCCGAUGGAGGGGGAUAACUACUGGAAACUGUAGCUAAUACCGCAUACCAUCGGAUGAGCCCAGAUGGGAUUAGCUAGUGGGUGGGGUAAGGGCCCACCUAGGCGACGAUCCCUAGCUGGUCUGAGAGGAUGACCAGCCACACGGGAACUGAGACACGGCCCGGACUCCUACGGGAGGCAGCAGUGGGGAAGAUUGCGCAAUGGGCGCAAGCCUGACGCAGCCAUGCCGCGUGUAUGAAGAAGGCCUUCGGGUUGUAAAGUCCUUUCGGCGAGGAGGCGUUACUCACAGAAGAAGCACCGGCUAACUCCGUGCCAGCAGCCGCGGUAAUAC